UACGGGAGGCAGCAGUGGGGAAUAUUGGACAAUGGGCACAAGCUUGAUCCAGCAAUGCCGCGUGGGUGAAGAAGGCCUGCGGGUUGUAAAGCCCUUUAAGCGGGGAGGAAAGCCGGGGUGCAAAUAGCGCCUCGGGGUGACGUUACCCGCAGAAUAAGCACCGGCUAACUCCGUGCCCGCAGCCGCGGUAAUACGGGGGGUGCGAGCGUUUUUUGGAAUUUCUGGGCGUAAAGCGUGUGUGGGCGGUGUAAUCUGUCAGCCGUGAAAGCCCCGGGCUUAACCUGGGAAGCGCGGUUGAGACGGUUAAUCUAGUGUGGGAGAGAGGGGUGUGGAACUCCGGGUGUAGCGGUGAAAUGUGUAGAUAUGGGGAAGAACACCGAUGGUGAAGGCAGCCCUGGGGGGCCACACUGACGAUGAGGCAAGAGGGCGUGGGGAGCAAACAGGAUUUGAUACCCUGGUAGUCCACGCAGUAAACGAUGAACACUAGACGCCGGGGGGGUGACUUUCGGUGUCGUAGCUAACGCG
rnacentral:rRNA from 1 species